UACGAAGGGGGCUAGCGUUGCUCGGAAUCACUGGGCGUAAAGCGCACGCAGGUGGUUCUGUGCGUGGGGUGUGAAAGCUCUCGGCUCAACUGAGAGAGGCCACCUCAUACGGCAGAGCUCGAGCCCUGCAGAGGUCCACGGAAUUGCCGGUGUAGUGGUGAAAUGCGUAGAGAUCGGCAGGAACACCCAGGGGGAAACCAGUGGACUGGGCAGGCGCUGACACUCAUGUGCGAAAGUGUGGGGAUCAAACAGG
rnacentral:rRNA from 1 species